GUACGAGAGGACCGGAGUGGACGCAUCACUGGUGUUCGGGUUGUCAUGCCAAUGGCACUGCCCGGUAGCUAAAUGCGGAAGAGAUAAGUGCUGAAAGCAUCUAAGCACGAAACUUGCCCCGAGAUGAGUUCUCCCUGAGACUAUAAGUCUCCUGAAGGAACGUUGAAGACGACGACGUUGAUAGGCCGGGUGUGUAAGCGCAGCGAUGCGUUGAGCUAACCGGUACUAAUGAACCGUGAGGCUUAACCUUACAACGCCGAAG
rnacentral:rRNA from 2 species